UAUUUUAAAUUGAAUAAAGUUGAAACUUUUUUUAUAAAAAAUUUAAUUUUUGUUUUAAAAUUAAUUGAUUAAUAAUAGUAAUAAAUAAAUUUUAUUAUUUAAAUAAUUUUUUAUAAUUUAGUAUUUAAAUUUAGAAUAUUAAUGUAAGUUAGAUUUAGAUAUUUAUGAUAAUAAAUGGUUAAUUUAGUGCCAGCCGCAGCGGUUAAACUAAGAUUUAAAAUUAAUUUAUUCAAUAGAAAUAAAAUAGAAUUUUUAUUUAUAUAUAAAAAAUUAUUUUUUAGUGGUGAAAUAUUUAAAAUUAAAAAUUUAUAUAUUUAGAAUUAAUUUAAUUUAAAAAUUUAUAUAUUAAACUAGGAUUAGAUACCCUAUUAUAUUAAAGGAUAAUUUUGUGUAUUAAAGUAUUAAAUGUUAAAUCAUUAAAUUUAUAAGAUUUGGCGGUAUUUUAUUCAAUUUAGAGGAACUUGUUGAGUGAUCGAUAAACCACGAUAAGAAUUACUUAAUUUAAUACUUGUGUAUUGCUGUUUUUAGGUAUAUUUUAAAAAUAUAAUUAAAAUUUUUGUUUUAUAUAAAUAAUUCAAGUCAAAAUAUAGUUUAGUUAAGAUUUUAUGAGUUACAAUAAUUUAAAAUUAUAUGAAUUUUUAAAUUUAAUUUUUAAAAUGAAGGUGGAUUUAAAAGUAAAAUUAAUUAAUUAAUUAAUUUGAAAAUUGUUUUAGAAUAUGUACAAAUUGCCCGUCACUUCCAAUAAAAUGGAAUAAGUCGUAACAAAGUUUAGGUACCGGAAGGUGUUUAUUGAAAAAAAAAU
rnacentral:ncRNA from 1 species